AUGCACGCUGCAGAUCGCCGCGGCAUCCACGCCAGCUCGCCGCACUCGCUAUGGCCGUCAGCUCACCGCGGUGCGAGCGCUGCAGGGCGAGGAGCUCGUACGGUACAAGCCCGCCCGCACCUCCUCUCAGGGCAGUUCCUCUCGUUCGGGUGCUCCAACGUGAAGUUCGCAUCGGCGGUGGCGUACCACCGCAUGGCGCGGAGGGUGGUCGUCUCCAACCUCCUCUCGGUGCGCCAUGUGGCCACCUACGGCAGCGUCCGGGGCAAGGAGCUUCGCCGCCUCCUAGCGCACCUCACCAAGAUCACCGCGGCGGGCGCCACCGUCGACCUCAGCGAGUGCUUGCUCAACCUCGCCAACGAUGUGAUCUCUCACAUCGCCUUCGGCCGCCGGUUCCCACACGGCAUGGACGACAAGCCCGUGUGA
rnacentral:rRNA from 1 species